rnacentral:rRNA from 1 species
UGAGGAUUAUUGGUCAAUGGACGCAAGUCUGAACCAGCCAAGAAGCGUGCAGGAUGACGGCCCUAUGGGUUGUAAACUGCUUUUAUAUGGGGAUAAAGUGGGGAACGUGUUCCUUUUUGCAGGUACCAUAUGAAUAAGGACCGGCUAAUUCCUUGCCGGCAGCCGCGGUAAUACGGAAGGUUCGGGCGUUAUCCGGAUUUAUUGGGUUUAAAGGGAGCGUAGGCCGUUUGGUAAGCGUGUUGUGAAAUGUAGGAGCUCAACUUCUAGAUUGCAGCGCGAACUGUCAGACUUGAGUGCGCACAACGUAGGCGGAAUUCAUGGUGUAGCGGUGAAAUGCUUAGAUAUCAUGAAGAACUCCGAUUGCGAAGGCAGCUUACGGGAGCGCAACUGACGCUGAAGCUCGAAGGUGCGGGUAUCGAACAGG